AGGGGAGGUCUCUUUAAAUAGGCAUAAGGAUUGAAUCCUAUUCAAUCUCAUAAUAUAAGUCCUACUUGCAUUAGGAUUCCUAUUAACUUAAGUUAUCCAAUUUACAUUAGGAAGCCCAUUUGGUGCCAACUAUUGAAAUCCUUGCACCCAUAAUUAAACACCCUCUUUUGCACCUAAGAGACACCCCAUAUGAAAACCAAAAGCCUUCUAAUUAAUAGACAUG
rnacentral:lncRNA from 1 species